UACGGAAGGCAGCAGUGGGGAAUAUUGCACAAUGGGCGCAAGCCUGAUGCAGCCAUGCCGCGUGUAUGAAGAAGGCCUUCGGGUUGUAAAGUACUUUCAGUCGUGAGGAAGGUGUUAAGGUUAAUAACCUUAGCAAUUGACGUUAGCGACAGAAGAAGCACCGGCUAACUCCGUGCCAGCAGCCGCGGUAAUACGGAGGGUGCGAGCGUUAAUCGGAAUUACUGGGCUAAAGGGCACGCAGGCGGUUAAUUAAGUUGGAUGUGAAAUCCCCGGGCUUAACCUGGGAAUGGCAUUCAAGACUGGUUAGCUAGAGUCUUGUAGAGGGGGUAGAAUUCCAUGUGUAGCGGUGAAAUGCGUAGAGAUGUGGAGGAAUACCGGUGGCGAAGGCGGCCCCUGGACAAAGGACUGACGCUCAUGUGCGAAAGCGUGGGGAGCAAACAGGGAUUAGAUACC
rnacentral:rRNA from 1 species